rnacentral:rRNA from 1 species
UCAUAUGCUUGUCUUAAAGAUUAAGCCAUGCAUGUCUAAGUAUAAGCUUUUAUACGGCUAAACUGCGAAUGGCUCAUUAAAACAGUUAUAGUUUAUUUGAUGGUCUUUACUACAUGGAUAACCGUGGGUAUUCUAUGGCUAUACAUGCGCACAUGCCUCUUUCCCUGGAAGGGCAGUGUUUAUUAAAUACAGA